UACGGGGGGAGCAAGCGUUGUUCGGAUUUACUGGGCGUAAAGGCGCGUAGGCGGCCACCGCAAGUCGACUGUGAAAUCUCCGGGCUUAACCCGGAAAGGUCAGCCGAUACUGCGGGCUAGAGUGCAGAAGGGGCAACUGGAAUUCUCGGUGUAGCGGUGAAAUGCGUAGAUAUCGAGAGGAACACCAGUGGCGAAGGCGAGUCCCUGGACAACUCCUGACGCUGAGGCACGAAAGCUAGGGGAGCAAACAGG
rnacentral:rRNA from 1 species